rnacentral:rRNA from 1 species
CACGUAGGGCGCAAGCGUUGUCCGGAAUUAUUGGGCGUAAAGAGCUCGUAGGCGGCCUGUCGCGUCGACUGUGAAACACCACGACUCAACCGUGGGACUGCAGUCGAUACGGGCAGGCUAGAGUUCGGUAGGGGAGACUGGAAUUCCUGGUGUAGCAGUGAAAUGCAUAGAUAUGCCAUAGAACACCAAUUGCGAAGGCAGCUGGCUAGACCUGUAUUGACGCUGAGGCACGAAAGCGUGGGGAGCGAACAGG